CGGCCUUUGUCUCUAGCUGCAGCCGGCGUUUCAGGUCUCGUCUUCACUGGUCUGUGUCCUAUUCUCCUGGAGGCCCAGCCUCUGUGGCCCUGUGACCUGCAGGUAUUGGGAGAUCCACAGCUAAAACCCCAGGACACCCUGGAAGCAUAGAAAUGGUCCAUCUUCUGUAGCGCUGCUGCAGUUUGCUAGGGGCUAACUUCAGGACCUAUUCAUCUGGUUCACCGCCGUGCCUGGAGAUGUCACUCAAGGAAGUUGGAGAACAGCAAAGAAGAGUGCCCGCUCCUUCCUCUGGGAUCUCUGACCUCAAGAGGCACAAACCUGAUGCCAGUAGAAUUGCUCCUCUAUAGGGUGUCUGACAAUCCCUGUUGAAGGGUCUCAUCCAGUUGGGUGGCACAGGAAGCAGAACUCAUUUAAUGAAGCACUUUGACUGUCCUUUGGUGGAGGGGGGUGUUUCACUGGGGGAAAAUCCACUCAUCUGGGCUGCUCAAAUUCUUCAAAACUAGCAGGAGGAAAGGCUAAGUCUGCUGGUCCACAGAGACUGCAGCCACCCCUCCCCCUAGGGUUCUGCUCUGAUCUUUGUUAUUUCUUUUUUUCUACUGGGUUUGGGUUUGGCUUGUUCUUGUUUCUCUAGUUCCUUGAGGUGUUAUCUUAGAUUGUCUACUUAUGAGCUUUCAGACUUUUUAGUAGGCACUUGAUGCUAUGAACUUUCCUUUUAGCACGACUUUUGCUGUAUCCCAGACAUUUUAAUAGAUUGUCAUUAUUAUCGUUCAGCUCAAAGAAUUUUUAAAUUUCCAUCUUGAUUUCAUACAACAAUCAUUCAGAAACAAGUUGAUCCUAAAUUUUAUUUUUAUUUAAUUUCCAUGUAUUUAUUUAAUUUCCAUGGAUUUGCAUGGUUUUGAGGGUUCACUUGGAGUUUUCACUUUUAUUCCACUGUAGUCUGACAGAGUAGUUGAUAUAAUUUUGAUUGUCUUAAAUUUAUCGAGACUUGUUUUGUGGCCCAUCAUAUGUCUGUCUUAGGGAAUGAUUCAUAUGCUGAUGAAUGAAAUGUAUAUUCUGCAGUUGUUGUGUGGAAUGUUCUGUAAAUAUUUGUCAAGUCCAUUUGUUCUACGGUAUAGUUUAAGUCCAUUGUUUUUGUUGUUGUUGUUGUUGUUGACUUUCUGUCAUGAUGACUUGUCUAGUGCUGUCAGUAGAGUAUUGAAGUUCCCCAUUAUUAUUGUGUUGCCAUUUAUCUCAUUUCUUAGGUCUAGUAGUAAUUGUUUAAUAAACUGGGAGCUCCAGUGUUAGGUGCAUAUAUAUUUAGAAUUGUGAUAUUUUCCUGUUGGACUAGUCCUUUUAUCAUUAUAUAAUGUCCCUCUUUGUCUUUUUUUAUUUUUAACUGUUUUUGCUUUAAUGUCUGUUUUGUCUGAUGUAAGAAUGGCUACUACUGCUUGCUUUUGGGGUACAUUUGCAUGACUAUCUUUUCCCAACCCUUUACCUUAACUUUAUGUGAGUUUUUAUGUGUUGGGUGAGUCUCUUAAAGACCGCAGAUAUUUGGUUGGUAAACUCUUCUCCAUUCUACCAUUCUGUAUCUUUUAAGUGGAAUAUUUAGGCCACUAAUCACUAUCAAUUAUACCACCACACAUUAUAAUGCCAGUCAUUGCAAGGCUUGAACAGGAAAUCAAUUCAUCCGCAUUCAAGUUUGCAGUUAUAAUAAAAAUUUUGGCCUGUUGA
ensembl:lncRNA novel transcript, antisense to ZNF486 and ZNF90